rnacentral:lncRNA from 1 species
UAUUAAUUCACUGUUUUGUCCCCCUGCAGAACUACAAAGAGCCUAGUGGAUAGUGUCUGGUCCACAGCUGGUGUCAGCAUCGCUGAUAGAUGAGGCCAAACACCUGGGAAACCUGCUGUUUAGAGUCUGGGAGAAGAUGCAGGGCAUUGUGAAUUACAUUCAUCCUGUCUGAGGAUCUGAUCAGUGUGAGAGAUACAGUGGAGUGAGACAGCAG